rnacentral:miRNA from 1 species
CGCGACUUAUAUAACCGGAUAU